UCUCCGUUGGUGAACCAGCGGAGGGAUCAUUAUCGAGUUUAUAACUCCCAAACCCUAUGUGAACUUACCACUUGUUGCUUCGGCGCGCGCUUCGUUGCCGCCGAGGACACUUAAACUCUUUGUUUUUAUAAGCAUUUCUGAGUGGCCGAAAGGCAAAAUACAAAUGAAUCAAAACUUUCAACAACGGAUCUCUUGGUUCCG
rnacentral:misc_RNA from 1 species